UACAGAGGUCCCGAGCGUUGUUCGGAUUCAUUGGGCGUAAAGGGUGCGUAGGCGGCGGGGUAAGUUUGAUGUGAAAUUCCGGGGCUCAACCCUGGCAUGGCAUUGAAUACUACCUUGCUAGAGUACCGGAGAGGAAACUGGAAUUUACGGUGUAGCAGUGAAAUGCGUAGAGAUCGUAAGGAAGACCAGUGGCGAAGGCGAGUUUCUGGACCAAUACUGACGCUCAUGUGCGAAAGCGUGGGGAGCAAACAGG
rnacentral:rRNA from 1 species